rnacentral:rRNA from 1 species
GUCUACGGCCAUACUACCCUGAACGCGCCCGAUCUCGUCUGAUCUCGGAAGCUAAGCAGGGUUGGGCCUUGUUAGUACUUGGAUGGGAGACCCACAGAAGACUAGGGACAGGUGGUUC